UACGUAGGCAGCGAGCGUUGUUCGGAGUUGCUGGGCGUAAAGGGUGUGUAGGCGGUUCUUUAAGUUUGGUGUGAAAUCUCCCGGCUCAACCGGGAGGGUGCGCCGAAUACUGAGGGACUUCGAGUGCGGGAGAGGAAAGUGGAAUUCCUGGUGUAGCGGUGAAAUGCGUAGAUAUCAGGAGGAACACCGGUGGUGUAGACGGCUUUCUGGACCGUAACUGACGCUGAGACACGAAAGCGUGGGUAGCAAACAGG
rnacentral:rRNA from 1 species